UACCCCUAGCAAAUCUCAAAAAACCGUCUCAGUUCAGAUUGUCCUCUGCAACUCGAGGGCAUGAAGCUGGAAUCGCUAGUAAUCGCAGAUCAGCACGCUGCGGUGAAUACGUUCCCGGGUCUUGUACACACCGCCCGUUACACCAUGGGAGUUGGUUCUACCUGAAGCCGGUGAGCUGACCGCAAGGAGGCAGCCGUCCACGGUAGGGUCAGCGACUGGGGUGAAG
rnacentral:rRNA from 1 species